UACGUAGGGCGCAAGCGUUAUCCGGAAUUAUUGGGCGUAAAGAGCUCGUAGGCGGUUUGUCGCGUCUGCUGUGAAAGACCGGGGCUCAACUCCGGUUCUGCAGUGGGUACGGGCAGACUAGAGUGCAGUAGGGGAGACUGGAAUUCCUGGUGUAGCGGUGAAAUGCGCAGAUAUCAGGAAGAACACCAAUGGCGAAGGCAGCUCUCUGGGACGGUACUGACGCUGAGACGCGAAAGCGUGGGGAGCGAACAGG
rnacentral:rRNA from 1 species